UACGGGAGGCAGCAGUGGGGAAUAUUGGCCAAUGGGCGCAAGCUUGAUCCAUCAAUACCGGGUGUGUGAAGAAGGCCUGAGGGUUGUAAAGCACUUUUAAUCGGGAGGAACACCUGUCAGUGAAUACCUGGCAGUAUGACAUUACCGAUAGAAAAAGCACCGGCUAACUCCGUGCCAGCAGCCGCGGUAAUACGGAGGGUGCAAGCGUUAAUCGGAAUUACUGGGCGUAAAGCGUGCGUAGGCGGCUGUUUAAGUCAGAUGUGAAAGCCCCGGGCUUAACCUGGGAACUGCAUUUGAUACUGGGCAGCUAGAGUUGAGUAGAGGAGAGGGGAAUUUCAGGUGUAGCGGUGAAAUGCGUAGAGAUCUGAAGGAACACCAGUGGCGAAGGCGGCUCUCUGGACUCAAACUGACGCUGAGGUACGAAAGCGUGGGUAGCAAACAGGAUUAGAUACCCUGGUAGUCCACGCCGUAAACGAUGUCAACUAGCCGUUGGUGGUAAUUACUACAGAUCAGUGGCGCAGCUAACGCGAUAAGUGACCGCCUGGGAUAGCA
rnacentral:rRNA from 1 species